rnacentral:rRNA from 1 species
AGAGCGAACGCUGGCGGCAGGCCUAAUACAUGCAAGUCGAACGGAUCCUUCGGGAUUAGUGGCGGACGGGUGAGUAACACGUGGGAACGUGCCCUUUGGUUCGGAACAACUCAGGGAAACUUGAGCUAAUACCGGAUAAGCCCUUCGGGGGAAAGAUUUAUCGCCAUUGGAGCGGCCCGCGUCUGAUUAGCUAGUUGGUGGGGUAAAGGCCUACCAAGGCUACGAUCAGUAGCUGGUCUGAGAGGAUGAUCAGCCACACUGGGACUGAGACACGGCCCAGACUCCUACGGGAGGCAGCAGUAGGGAAUCUUGCGCAAUGGGCGAAAGCCUGACGCAGCCAUGCCGCGUGAAUGAUGAAGGUCUUAGGAUUGUAAAAUUCUUUCAGCGGGGACGAUAAUGACGGUACCGCAGAAGAGCCCGGCUAACUUCGUGCCAGCAGCCGC